AAUUAUCCAGAAUCAGACUUGAAUCUGACUUGGAAUCUGUUCCUUCUUGGAAGUUUUUCUCACUCGCACAUAAUUAUUGAGCUAGUGGAGCAAUUCUAUGCACUGAAUGGAUUUCUCAGAGUGCCACGCUGAAGCAGAAACAGAAGGAUGAAAGGUUCUCUAUCCUCUUACAAAUGGUUUCCUGAGAAGCACUACAAUGCUGGCUUCUCACUGUAGCAAUCAAGAGCUGAAGGCAGCAGUUGUUGCUGUUGGUGGCUGAAGCCAUGCAGCAUAUGCCAGCAAUGGAACAUGGUCUUUACCCAGAUGCCUGGGUGAAGCUGCAGGAGCCACAGAAAUCAAGCAUUCUUCUGGUGAAGCUUUCUAAGAUCAGAAGUGCCAAUGAAAUCAAGGAUGACAAAUGAACGAUGUGUUAAAACAGGUGUGGCAGUGGAGAAAGGAGCCCUUGUGGUCACUGCUGCCCACAGACUGGCACUGGGUGCGUGCAUACUGACAGUCACAGACUCCACUGUAGUUUGAGCAUCCGAAGAGCAUAAAGCCUGGGUGGCUAUGAAUGACUUCCAUGUGUCAUUUGAAUGAAGGUAUUUUGAAGACUGGCUAUUGACACCUGAAACAAUUACUAUUCUGCUCGUGGAUUUGACACCUCAGACUAGUUAAUCACCAGAGGGGCUUCACAUGCCAUCAGAAGGUGAGAGCUUUCACUAUAGAAAUACCAAAGUCCUGACAGCAGCUCGUGGCAGAGGGCAGGAAUGGUGUCCAUUUGCACUUAGAAUAUUUGCAUGCAGUGGUGUUUGUAAUGUAUCCUGAGGGCAAUGUGGACCUUCAAAUCCAAACUCAUCUCCUGCAGCCAAGGCCACUUCUUGCCCUUGGGAAAAGCAGUCACAGUGGCAAGGAUGCCUAGACGUGUAAAUGGGGAGUUCCUGCAUUGUGCUGGAGGCAAGCUGUAGAGCAGUGAGCUGCUGUGGCAUAAAACACCAGAAUGUUGGCUCUUGGCUCCAUGAAGUGGCCAACAUCAGCAUGAGUAACUGGGUGGCUAAUUAGAGGUAACUGUCUACUUGGAAGAACUUUCUUCAUGUCUCAUUUUGAACUCCCUGAGUGUGGUGGUCUAGGAAGUAAUUAACAUGCUUUUAGCCUCAGGGUUACUUGUGGCUGGAUUCAUAAACAUAGAUACUGUUGUACAUUACUAAUUUUUGAUUUACAAAGUACCAACAGUUUGAUUUAAGAAAUUGCCGGAGUUAAUCUUGAUUUUAUGCACUGUAAAUGUUUCAUAUACUAUAAACUUUCCUGUAAACAUAAAUUGUCAGCAGAAAAAAAUCUAGGAAGCCUUCUUUCACUUUUUUUAUUAGUUCUAUUUCAGGAGCAGAGGCUCUGCACUAUGAAUAGCUUUGGCAAGCAUAUUCCCUUAGCUCCUACCUGUUCAAGCACAGCAAAUUUCUAUUCUUAACUCCUGAUUUUUGCUUGUCCCUCUACUGCAAUUUCAUUUUUUAUUUACAAAGCCUUCCACCGAUGUACACAAUAUCUUAUUUGGAAGCUAACAAGAGAUAGCAUAGUGGGAAAGGCUCUUUAACUGGGCUCCUCUGAGAGACAGAAGAGAGUAAUGGAGAGAAAGUGUUGGUCUUUGCUUACUGGAAGCAAGGAAAUCCCUGGUGGAUGUCCCUGUGCAACUGCUCUGCCACUCUUGGAAGGCAGGAAAAUAAUUCUUAACAAAGCACAAAUUUUAUUUGAAAAUGUGAAAGGUCUAAUACUGAACACGGUACAUUGUAUCUGUGAUUCACCUUCAUCUGCCAUGUAUGUGUUAUUUUUCUUUUUCCUGUACUGUUUUACCCUAUGACUUAUGAGGCUUUGAACUCACUUUCUGUCUCAAAAUG
ensembl:lncRNA